rnacentral:rRNA from 1 species
ACCCUGACCGAGCAACGCCGCGUGAGUGAAGAAGGUUUUCGGAUCGUAAAGCUCUGUUGUAAGAGAAGAACGAGUGUGAGAGUGGAAAGUUCACACUGUGACGGUAACUUACCAGAAAGGGACGGCUAACUACGUGCCAGCAGCCGCGGUAAUACGUAGGUCCCGAGCGUUAUCCGGAUUUAUUGGGCGUAAAGCGAGCGCAGGCGGUUAGAUAAGUCUGAAGUUAAAGGCUGUGGCUUAACCAUAGUACGCUUUGGAAACUGUUUAACUUGAGUGCAGAAGGGGAGAGUGGAAUUCCAUGUGUAGCGGUGAAAUGCGUAGAUAUAUGGAGGAACACCGGUGGCGAAAGCGGCUCUCUGGUCUGUAACUGACGCUGAGGCUCGAAAGCGUGGGGAGCAAACAGGAUUAGAUACCCUGGUAGUCCACGCCGUAAACGAUGAGUGCUAGGUGUUGGGUACUUUCCGGGACUCAGUGCCGCAGCUAACGCAUGAAGCACUCCGCCUGGGGAGUACGAACGCAAGGUUGAAACUCAAAGGAAUUGACGGGGGCCCGCACAAGCGGUGGAGCAUGUGGU